ACCACAACUUUAAUAACUAUUUUAACCCCGCGAGUUUUGACUAUAUACUAUACCUCAAAUUUAUAUUUACAAAACUAUAAACUAUUGAUCCAACAAUAUAUAUUAAAUUUCCUAAGAUGCAUGACUAUAUAUUCAAAUAACAACAAGCGGCGCGCGACACGGCGCGACUUGCUUACAAGCACUUUUCAAGGAGGGGCCUGCCCACGCAAAAUGUAUAUUAUCUCGAAACAAUGUUUUGCCCACAUCUUGUCAAAAUAUCCUAUCGACAAUAUUAAUGAACGAUAUUGUUUCAACAUUCGCGUACUGAAAGUGUUUAUCAAUAAGUCCAUUUCGACAAACUUUCGUUCGUCUUUCGACUCGCGCGCUUUUAAAACUCGGCCAAAACAGGACCAGCCUGACAAUAUCAGCCAUUUAAAGUUCACUUGUUGCUCUUGAACAUCUAGCAAUCCAACGGAAAACCAUUCUAAGACUGUUUUAGAAACACCACAAAGACCAAAAUAUGACGUAUACAUUGACAGCACUAGUUCUAAGACAUCACAAUAAUAAAAAGUUGAAGACCAAUGUUCCACAAAUGAUCUUAAUUUUCAUGAUGUGCACGAUCGAGACCGCUGGAUCGGCUGUUAUUCAACGAGUCUCCGACAGCUCUUAACGCAGAUCCAAUAUCACUGAGCGCCCCUCGUUCUUCAUUGGAUACGCCAUUGCCUCGCAUAUUCGCCGCAUUCUGACGAGCAUCUCUGUUCCUCGCCUGUCUUUCCUUGCUUUCU
rnacentral:lncRNA from 1 species